CCUACGGGUGGCAGCAGUGGGGAAUAUUGGACAAUGGGCGCAAGCCUGAUCCAGCAAUGCCGCGUGUGUGAAGAAGGCCUGCGGGUUGUAAAGCACUUUAAGCAGGAAAGAAGGGCGGAGCGAUAAUACCGUUUCGCAUUGACGUUACCUGCAGAAUAAGCACCGGCUAACUCCGUGCCAGCAGCCGCGGUAAUACGGAGGGUACGAGCGUUACGUGGAAUUACUGGGGGUAAAUCGCGCGUAGGCGGGUGAACGCCCUGGGCUUAACCUGGGAACUGCGGUGGAUACUGUCGGGCUAGAGUGUGGUAGAGGGGAGUGGAAUUUCCGGUGUAGCAGUGAAAUGCGUAGAGAUCGGAAGGAACACCAGUGGCGAAGGCGGCUCCCUGGACCAACACUGACGCUGAGGUGCGAAAGCGUGGGGAGCAAACAGGAUUAGAUACCCUUGUAGUC
rnacentral:rRNA from 1 species